rnacentral:rRNA from 1 species
GGCGGCGCGCCUAACACAUGCAAGUCGAGCGAUAACCAGGGCUUGCCCUGGGGACAGCGGCGAACGGGUGCGUAACACGUGAGCAACCUGCCCCAAAGACCGGGACAACCCGAGGAAACUCGGACUAAUACCGGAUGCCCUCACCGGGUCGCAUGGUCUGGUGAGGAAAUGGAUUCCGCUUUGGGAUGGGCUCGCGGUCUAUCAGCUUGUUGGUGGGGUAACGGCCUACCAAGGCGACGACGGAUAGCUGGUCUGAGAGGACGAUCAGCCACACUGGGACUGAGACACGGCCCAGACUCCUACGGGAGGCAGCAGUGGGGAAUCUUGCGCAAUGGGGGAAACCCUGACGCAGCGACGCCGCGUGCGGGAUGAANGCCUUCGGGUUGUAAACCGCUUUCAGCAGGGACGAAAUUGACGGUACCUGCAGAAGAAGGCCGGCCAACUACGUGCCAGCAGCCGCGGUAAUACGUAGGGGCCUAGCGUUGUCCGGAAUUAUUGGGCGU